GACGAACGCUGGCGGCGUGCUUAACACAUGCAAGUCGAACGGAAAGGCCCUGCUUUUGUGGGGUGCUCGAGUGGCGAACGGGUGAGUAACACGUGAGUAACCUGCCCUUGACUUUGGGAUAACUUCAGGAAACUGGGGCUAAUACCGGAUAGGAGCUCCUGCUGCAUGGUGGGGGUUGGAAAGUUUCGGCGGUUGGGGAUGGACUCGCGGCUUAUCAGCUUGUUGGUGGGGUAGUGGCUUACCAAGGCUUUGACGGGUAGCCGGCCUGAGAGGGUGACCGGCCACAAUGGGACUGAGAUACGGCCCAGACUCCUACGGGAGGCAGCAGUGGGGAAUAUUGCACAAUGGGCGGAAGCCUGAUGCAGCAACGCCGCGUGCGGGAUGACGGCCUUCGGGUUGUAAACCGCUUUCGCCUGUGACGAAGCGUGUGUGACGUUAAUGGGUGAAGAAGCACCGGCUAACUACGUG
rnacentral:rRNA from 1 species